rnacentral:rRNA from 1 species
UACGUAGGGUGCAAGCGUUGUCCGGAAUUAUUGGGCGUAAAGAGCUCGUAGGCGGUUUGUUGCGUCGGCUGUGAAAUCCCGAGGCUCAACCUCGGGUCUGCAGUCGAUACGAGCAAACUAGAGUGUUGCAGGGGAGACUGGAAUUCCUGGUGUAGCGGUGAAAUGCGCAGAUAUCAGGAAGAACACCCGUGGCGAAGGCGGCUCUCUGGGACGGUACUGGACGCUGAGACGCGAAAGCGUGGGGAGCGAACAGG